rnacentral:rRNA from 1 species
AUUGAACGCUGGCGGCAUGCCUUACACAUGCAAGUCGAACGGUAACAGGUCUUCGGAUGCUGACGAGUGGCGAACGGGUGAGUAAUACAUCGGAACGUGCCUAGUAGUGGGGGAUAACUACUCGAAAGAGUGGCUAAUACCGCAUGAGAUCUACGGAUGAAAGCAGGGGAUCGCAAGACCUUGUGCUACUAGAGCGGCCGAUGGCAGAUUAGGUAGUUGGUGGGAUAAAAGCUUACCAAGCCGACGAUCUGUAGCUGGUCUGAGAGGACGAUCAGCCACACUGGGACUGAGACACGGCCCAGACUCCUACGGGAGGCAGCAGUGGGGAAUUUUGGACAAUGGGCGCAAGCCGGAUCCAGCAAUGCCGCGUGCGGGAUGAAGGCCUUCGGGUUGUAAACUGCUUUUGUACGGAACGAAAAGCCCUGGGUUAAUACCCUGGGGUCAUGACAGUACCGUAAGAAUAAGCACCGGCUAACUACGUGCCAGCAGCCGCGGUAACAC